AGUCUGGCAAGGGUUAGCCACCCACCAGUAGCGAGUCUUGCGUGGCAGUCGGUAACGGCGUUGCUGCAUAGCAUUAAGCUGCGAAGCGUAGACAGCGAGCAAGCAGGGUUACACGGUGAUUGAGCCUCGACAUUUUGCGACCAGUCGGCCGACGCUUUAAUCCCAGCGGAAGGCAACAUGGGCGGAGACGAUAUGGCGAGUCAACGUCUGCACUGCGGGGUCAUAGAAC
rnacentral:ncRNA from 1 species